rnacentral:rRNA from 1 species
CGAAGGGGGCUAGCGUUGCUCGGAAUUACUGGGCGUAAAGGGCGCGUAGGCGGACAGUUUAGUCAGAGGUGAAAGCCCAGGGCUCAACCCUGGAAUUGCCUUUGAUACUGGCUGUCUUGAGUACGGGAGAGGUGUGUGGAACUCCGAGCGUAGAGGUGAAAUUCGUAGAUAUUCGGAAGAACACCAGUGGCGAAGGCGACACACUGGCCCGUUACUGACGCUGAGGCGCGAAAGCGUGGGGAGCAAACAGGAUUAGAUACCCUGGUAGUCCACGCCGUAAACGAUGAGUGCUAGUUGUCGGCAUGCAUGCAUGUCGGUGACGCAGCUAACGCAUUAAGCACUCCGCCUGGGGAGUACGGUCGCAAGAUUA